rnacentral:rRNA from 1 species
AGCUGGUUGGUAGGGUAACGGCCUACCAAGGCUAUGACGGGUAGGGGACCUGAGAGGGUGGCCCCCCACAAUGGAACUGAAACACGGUCCAUACACCUACGGGUGGCAGCAGUAGGGAAUAUUAGAAAUGGACGAAAGUCUGAUCUAGCAACACCGCGUGUGCGAAGAAGGCCUUCGGGUCGUAAAGCACUUUUUGGAAGGAAUAGGAAGGAAUGUACUUCCAGAAUAAGUCUCGGCUAACUACGUGCCAGCAGCCGCGGUAACACGUAGGAGGCAAACGUUAUCCGGAUUUACUGGGCGUAAAGCGCGUGUAGGUGGUACUGUAAGUAGGGCGUGAAAGCUCCUGGCUCAACUGGGAGAGGCCGUUCUAAACUACAGAACUAGAGGAUGGUAGAGGGAGGUGGAAUUCCAGGUGUAGCGGUGGAAUGCGCAGAUAUCUGGAGGAACACCGGUGGCGAAGGCGGCCUCCUGGACCAUUCCUGACACUCAGACGCGAAAGCUAGGGUAGCAAACGGGAUUAGAUACCCCGGUAGUCC